rnacentral:rRNA from 1 species
AUUGAACGCUGGCGGAAUGCUUUACACAUGAAAGUCGAACGGCAGCACGGACUUCGGUCUGGUGGCGAGUGGCGAACGGGUGAGUAAUGUAUCGGAACGUGCCCAGUCGUGGGGGAUAACGUAGUGAAAAUUACGCUAAUACCGCAUACGAUCUAAGGAUGAAAGCGGGGGAUCGCAAGACCUCGCGCGAUUGGAGCGGCCGAUAUCAGAUUAGGUAGUUGGUGGGGUAAAGGCCCACCAAGCCAACGAUCUGUAGCUGGUCUGAGAGGACGACCAGCCACACUGGAACUGAGACACGGUCCAGACUCCUACGGGAGGCAGCAGUGGGGAAUUUUGGACAAUGGGCGAAAGCCUGAUCCAGCCAUUCCGCGUGCAGGAUGAAGGCCCUCGGGUUGUAAACUGCUUUUGUACAGAACGAAAAGGUUUCUACUAAUACUAGGAGCUCAUGACGGUACUGUAAGAAUAAGCACCGGCUAACUACGUGCCAGCCGCCGCAGUAA